CGCUGGUGCUGAGGAGAGGCGACCACACACAGUUCUCCGCGGCAGUGGCGCUCUGGCUGACCGUGGUGGCCGAGGGGAGAGUGACAAGGGCCCCUGGUUCUCUAACCGCAUUACUUUCAGGAUGGAUGGGUGACAGCGAUGGAUGGGCCGCUGGAUGGACAGUGACCGAGUCUUUUCUCUGGCUGGCUUUGAAGGAGGAAGCUGCCGAGAAUCUUACAGCUGCGAGGAAAUCGCUUCUGCCGAAACCAGAGGGAGGCUGACAGCCAGUCAGUGUUUCCCUGGUCCAGCCUCUGAUGAGAACCCAGCCCUGGUCUACGUCUUGCUUGCAGCCGUGUGGGACCAUAAGCUACACCGCGCCUGGGCUCCUGACCCACAGACCGUGAGACAGAAACAUAACCCUGCAGUUUAGCUUUUAUUUCUAGUAUUUCUGUGAAGUGCACCUGAGGAGAGCUUGGAAUUUCGAUCAGCAUUCCCACAUACGGCACACGCCAGCAGCUGUUUCUGCUAUCGGCAGGCCUUUUCCAUUUUUCUGAGAGGAGAGAUAAAGUUUGGAAUCGUUUCAUCAUUUCGCCUAAAAGCCAAACGACCCCGGUGGCCUUCUGACGUGCCGGCCGUGCUGUCAGC